UGACCGUUGAAUAACUSAACAAACGUAACURCCCACGUUCUUCAAAGGACAGAAUUUGCACGAAGAGAACCGGCACUUGCGCAAGNUUAUUUGUUCAGUCUGGCUAUUCUUGGCAUUGCCUUGCCUCUGUKCAUCGUGAUUGUAAGCACAGUUACAAUUCUAAUUCGGGUUAAAAUGCAGCUUAAGGGUGUKUCCUCCCGGCGUGUSASUGGUGGUAGCAUUGAAUUAGAACGAAUGAACUUUACAUUAGUCGCCAUGUCAAUAUGUUUCACACUUCUGUCUGUSCSUGCUGUCAUUAUAUAUGUAUGGUCGGCAUACGRCAGAUCGCCUGAGACAUUGUAUCUUCGUGCUUUAUUCACCGACUUAGACAUUGUUAUGGUCUGUCUGAAUUCUGCCAGCGAUUKWGUKAUUUAUUGUUGGGCCUCCAACAAGUUUAGAGAACAGUKUUUACAAAAUAUAUGCGGGAUUNGUUCGUAGAUCACGCAGCAGUACGUCAGAUAACCCUUCAUCAACKAUUCAAUCCAUCCAGUUUAACCUUGACAG
rnacentral:sRNA from 1 species